rfam:Gossypium raimondii Chr09_contig_86, whole genome shotgun sequence.
UGUUAAAAUUUUCCUUUAUUUUUACUACUAAAAUUGGAUGCGGCUAACAUAAUAAUUAGAUAGUUGCACGUGAUGUGCCAUGUAUACUUUAUUUUGACAUACAAAAACCAGUUUUUAAUCGUAGAAAUGAAUGAAAAUUUUAUCA